rnacentral:rRNA from 1 species
GAUGAACGCUGGCGGCGUGCCUAAUACAUGCAAGUCGAGCGAACAGACGAGGAGCUUGCUCCUCUGACGUUAGCGGCGGACGGGUGAGUAACACGUGGAUAACCUACCUAUAAGACUGGGAUAACUUCGGGAAACCGGAGCUAAUACCGGAUAAUAUAUUGAACCGCAUGGUUCAAUAGUGAAAGACGGUUUUGCUGUCACUUAUAGAUGGAUCCGCGCCGCAUUAGCUAGUUGGUAAGGUAACGGCUUACCAAGGCAACGAUGCGUAGCCGACCUGAGAGGGUGAUCGGCCACCCUGGAACGGAGACACGGUCCAGACACCUACGGGAGGCAGCAGUAGGUAAUCUGCCGCAAUGGGCGAAAGCCUGACGGAGCAACGCCGCGUGAGUGAUGAAGGUCUUCGGAUCGGAAAACUCUGUUAUUAGGGAAGAACAAAUGUGUAAGUAACUAUGCACGUCUUGACGGUACCUAAUCAGAAAGCCACGGCUAACUACGUG